AGAGUUUGAUCCUGGCUCAGGAUGAACGCUAGCGGCAGGCUUAACACAUGCAAGUCGAGGGGUAACAGGGUUUAGUUUACUAGAUUGCUGACGACCGGCGCACGGGUGAGUAGCGCGUAUACAAUUUACCUUUUACAGGAGAGUAGCCCAGAGAAAUUUGGAUUAAUGCUCCAUGGUAUUAUCGAGUGGCAUCACUUGAUGAUUAAAGAUUUAUCGGUAAAAGAUGAGUAUGCGUCCUAUUAGUUAGUUGGUGAGGUAACGGCUCACCAAGACUACGAUAGGUAGGGGUCCUGAGAGGGAGACCCCCCACACUGGUACUGAGACACGGACCAGACUCCUACGGGAGGCAGCAGUGAGGAAUAUUGGGCAAUGGAGGCAACUCUGACCCAGCCAUGCCGCGUGCAGGAAGACGGCCCUAUGGGUUGUAAACUGCUUUUAUAUAGGAAGAAACCUUUCCACGUGUGGAGAGCUGACGGUACUAUAUGAAUAAGCACCGGCUAACUCCGUGCCAGCAGCCGCGGUAAUACGGAGGGUGCAAGCGUUAUCCGGAAUCAUUGGGUUUAAAGGGUCCGUAGGCGGGCAAUUAAGUCAGGGGUGAAA
rnacentral:rRNA from 1 species